UACGUAGGGUGCGAGCGUUGUCCGGAAUUAUUGGGCGUAAAGGGCUCGUAGGCGGUCUGUUGCGUCGGGAGUGAAAACUCAGGGCUUAACCCUGAGCCUGCGGUCGAUACGGGCAGGCUAGAGUUCGGUAGGGGAGACUGGAAUUCCUGGUGUAGCGGUGAAAUGCGCAGAUAUCAGGAGGAACACCGGUGGCGAAGGCGGGUCUCUGGGCCGAUACUGACGCUGAGGAGCGAAAGCGUGGGGAGCGAACAGG
rnacentral:rRNA from 1 species